rnacentral:rRNA from 1 species
UACGGAGGAUCCUAGCGUUAUCCGGAUUUAUUGGGUUUAAAGGGUGCGCAGGCGGAAUAGUAAGUCAGUGGUGAAAUCCUGCAGCUUAACUGCAGAACUGCCAUUGAUACUGUUAUUCUUGAGUAUAUUUGAAGUGGGCGGAAUGUGUCAUGUAGCGGUGAAAUGCUUAGAUAUGACACAGAACACCAAUUGCGAAGGCAGCUCACUAAACUAUAACUGACGCUCAUGCACGAAAGCGUGGGGAUCAAACAGGAUUAGAUACC